UGGUAAUUGUUCUUUGCCACCACUAGUGUAAAUCAGGUAAUGUUACAGGCUCAACUCCUCAUUCACAUAUAAGAUGGUGGGAUAUGUGGUGGGUAAUUCCUGGGUCGAUUGAGGCUUUGUUUCAGUGGUGGGCAGGGGCUUUGGUUAAGAAAAAAGAGGUGAAGGUGUGGAAAAUUGUGCCGCUAGUUUUAUUUUGCCAAUUUGGUAGUUAAGCAAUGAUAUAUUGUUUAACAGUGGCCAUCCUAAUUUUGAUGAUUUGGAGGACAUUGUGAAGACCAGGAUUGCAUUUUGGGCUAAGAACAAUUUACCAGGUGUGCAGUACGGAGUGCAUGAUUUUGUUCAUAGGUCAGACAUUGCUUGAGGUGAAGGGUGUUUACUGGGGCACUGUGGUGGCAGUGUUCUGGGACGCCUUGUGCUUGUUUUGCUGUCAAGUCCUGCUGUUGCUGUGUGUGUAGUCCAGUUGCUGGGUGCGUAGUCCCACUGCUGUGGUCUUGUUAUGGGAAGCCCUCUGCUGGUGUUUUUGCUGUUAUGAAUUGCUGCUGCUGGUCCUAUAGUUGCUGGUUCUCUUGUUGCUGGUGUUUGCUGUCAUGUGUAGUAACAGUUUGCAGUAGUAGUGUGCUGCUGUAGCUGUGUACUUGGUGCACUUAUCAGUUUGUUAGCAGUCCUGUUAUAGCUUCUGUGUUGUUUGCUUGCUGGGUUGUCAUGCAGUUGCUAAUGUUUGCGGGGUUGAAAUGCUGUCGCUGAUGUUUGCUGGGUUGACACGCUGUUAUAGCUGUUGUUUUGCUACCUUGGGUGCUGUUGGUGCUGCUGUCUAUUGGUGCUGCUUGUUGCUACCUAGGGUGUUAAAUACCGGUGCCUCUUCCUGUGGCAAGGAGUUUGAUGGUGUAUUGUUUGGAAGUUGCUGGAAGAUUUUACGAGGGAAGGAGGUGGCAGAGUUGGAUGGUUGUCCUUGCGGUGUGGUUGUUGAAUCAUGAAAUUGUCAACUAGCAAGAUGAGUGGAGAGAAUUCAAAAAAAGCUGAGAAAAGAAUUAGGAAGGAGCGUGAAGCUAUAAUUGCUACGACAAUGGAUGAUCUUCAAGAUGUAAUAGGAAGUAUAGUUGCAUGGCCUAGUCAAUUCAUUUUUUUGGACUAAAUAUUAGAAUAAUUGAUUUACGAUUUGUAGUUAUGCUUUUUGGAUGUUUAAAGUCGUAUUUUAGAAAUUAGUAAAUCUUAUGAUUUGGAUACUUUUCUUAGUUUGUAUGUUUGAGAUUGUUAUUAGCUUGAUAUGAUAAAAGUUAAAGAUGGAAGUUAGUAUGAA